rnacentral:misc_RNA from 1 species
AGUGUUGCUGGUCUUCGGACGAAGCUCAUUCGUAAUACAUUAGCAUCUCAAUUUCGAACUUCGGAUUGACUCAGCGUGAUAGACUAUUCGCUGAGGACACCUUUGGGUGGCCGAAUGAGAAGACAAUAGAAGCUUCUAAACAGAUCUUAGUCAAUUUAAAUUUAGACCUCAGAUCAGGCAGGAUUACCCGCUGAACUUAA